rnacentral:misc_RNA from 1 species
AACGAAAAAGUGUUUUCAACACCCACACGAGUAAUCAAAUAUUUAAAUAUAAAGUUCUUUAAAAUAAAUGGUAUGUAAUUUUCUAGUGUAUACAUUUUUGUAUACAUGAGAUCACUGCAAAUUAAAAAGUAAUUAAUAAUAUUUUAUUAAGUACUCUCAAAAAAAUUAGAUAACCUUUUU